rnacentral:tRNA from 1 species
GAGCUUAGUGGCAGGGCACCUGCUCAGCAUGCAGAAGGCCCUGGGUUCAAUCCCCAGUGGCA